rnacentral:rRNA from 1 species
AGUGAACGCUGGCGGUAGGCCUAACACAUGCAAGUCGAACGGCAGCACAGUAAGAGCUUGCCCUUACGGGUGGCGAGUGGCGGACGGGUGAGGAAUACAUCGGAAUCUACUUUUUCGUGGGGGAUAACGUAGGGAAACUUACGCUAAUACCGCAUACGACCUACGGGUGAAAGCAGGGGAUCUUCGGACCUUGCGCGAUUGAAUGAGCCGAUGUCGGAUUAGCUAGUUGGCGGGGUAAAGGCCCACCAAGGCGACGAUCCGUAGCUGGUCUGAGAGGAUGAUCAGCCACACUGGAACUGGGACACGGUCCAGACUCCUACGGGAGGCAGCAGUGGGGAAUAUUGGACAAUGGGCGCAAGCCUGAUCCAGCCAUACCGCGUGGGUGAAGAAGGCCUUCGGGUUGUAAAGCCCUUUUGUUGGGAAAGAAAAGCAGCAGGUUAAUACCCCGCUGUUCUGACGGUACCCAAAGAAUAAGCACCGGCUAACUUCGUG